GUACUUCUGGUUCAGGAGGACAACAUCAACUGAGGACAUGAUUACACUGAAGAUCACAUCCGUCAAUGUCGGAGUAAUCAUGACGCUGGUCACUUUUUGGUUACAGGAGAUGAAAUGAGACAGAGAGAGAAGAAAAGGAGGGAGACGGUGCUGGUGGAGGACAGUGUUGUGGAAGGAUGACGACGCCAACAGGACAUCUCCUAAACCACGUCAUACUUGUCCCAGGUUAAUCACUGGAGUAGGAUUACAUUCCAUUUGGCAUAUGGGUUCUUACUGCACAUCAAGACAUAUCUCAAACACAUAGGAAGAUAAUACACAAGCUGGGCCCAAGCAGUCCUCUCUGAGAUGUAUAAAAGGGAACAGUAUGCGUAUGAGCCUACCGAUGGCUGUUCAAAAUGGGUAGGGUUCGGUUGCGAUGUGUUUCUUGUUGUCAUUAUGAUUUUUUUUGUUGUAUUUAUUGAUGAGAAACCAAUGGGAUGUAGGGCAACAGGGAAACUAAUAAAACAAGAGAAGAAUAAAGGUGGACCCAACCACAAGUUCCUUGUUUUCUCAAACGCUACAGUUAAAGCCCAUACCCCAUCCUAAGUGAAAAUAAAACAUGCUAUUCUAAAACCAGACGCAGGGUUUGGGAUUGUAUAACUGAAUGAUAAAACAUGCUACUCUAAAACCAGACGUAGGGUUUGGGAUUGUAUAACUGAAUGAUAAAACAUGCUAUUCUAAUACCAGACACAGGGUUUGGGAUUGUAUAACUGAAUGAUAAAACAUGCUAUUCUAAUACCAGACGCAGGGUUUGGGAUUGUAUAACUGAAUGAUAAAACAUGCUAUUCUAAAACCAGACGCAGGGUUUGGGAUUGUAUAACUGAAUGAUAAAACAUGCUAUUCUAAUACCAGACACAGGGUUUGGGAUUGUAUAACUGAAUGAUAAAACAUGCUAUUCUAAUACCAGACGCAGGGUUUGGGAUUGUAUAACUGAAUGAUAAAACAUGCUAUUCUAAUACCAGACGCAGGGUUUGGGAUAGUAUAACUGAAUGAUAAAACAUGCUAUUCUAAUACCAGACGCAGGGUUUGGGAUUGUAUAACUGAAUGAUAAAACAUGCUAUUCUAAAACCAGACGCAGGGUUUGGGAUUGUAUAACUGAAUGAUAAAACAUGCUAUUCUAAUACCAGAUGCAGGGUUUGGGAUUGUAUAACUGAAUGAUAAAACAUGCUAUUCUAAUACCAGACGCAGGGUUUGGGAUUGUAUAACUGAAUGAUAAAACCUGCUAUUCUAAUACCAGACGCAGGGUUUGGGAUUGUAUAACUGAAUGAUAAAACAUGCUAUUCUAAUACCAGACGCAGGGUUUGGGAUUGUAUAACUGAAUGAUAAAACAUGCUAUUCUAAAACCAGACGCAGGGUUUGGGAUUGUAUAACUGAAUGAUAAAACAUGCUAUUCUAAUACCAGACGCAGGGUUUGGGAUUGUAUAACUGAAUGUUAAAACAUGCUAUUCUAAUACCAGACGCAGGGUUUGGGAUUGUAUAACUGAAUGAUAAAACAUGCUAUUCUAAUACCAGACGCAGGGUUUGGGAUUGUAUAACUGAAUUAUAAAACAUGAAGUGGCUAAUAAGAGUCUGUUACAGCAGUACUUAAUGUUGGCAGGUACAGAGGGAAUGAGUUUGUCUAUGUUGACCUUUAUUUUCUCUGGCUUUGGUACAUUUCCUGAAUCCAUUCAGAUGCAAAACCUUGUCUGGUCAAAUUAGAUUAUGAUCAUAAUAAACUAUUUUAAUCUUGUCAGUUCCCCGAACAAGCCAGAAAUUCAGUUGAUCAAUCCAGUCUGGGCUCUCAGAGAUUUCACUAAGAAGGUCUACUGAUAUCAUUUUUACAAUGCAACAAGUGGAACAUUUAAAAAAAAAAAUUCUUCCAUGAGCCACUGUGUCAAAAAAAACAUGACCAAAUGACAUCUGACAGUCUAGGAAUUCCCAUCACCCUUCAUUUGUAACAGAUCAAUCCCUGUCUCCCUGCGUGUCAAUCAUGUUGAACGAUCUGGAACCUUAGAGUACCCUAAUUAGGGUCAGUCAACAACAGCCCCCUACUAGGUAGUGAUUGAUCAACCCCAGGCAGCUCAACCAUUGCAUGCAUGGCUUCAAAUGAGGGCUGUGUGUUUAAACAAGGAAAUUGUUACAUAAUGAAGGGCCAAGUAGAUCAAAGUCAUUAUUUUUGCAGGUAAAUGGGAUGAAUUCUCUGCUUGGUUCAUUUUAUUACUUCUAUUGUACUAUUACUUUAACCUGUAUAAAUCUUGUUUUAGAAACGUGCUGAAAAUUCUAAUGAUAUGUGAAACGUAAGGUGGUGUUUGUUGGCUUUGUGUUUGGAAAAAUAUAAUAACUUGUUUCAUCGUUGCUGUCACGUAGAGUAGGCCAGAAGGCUAAACUGGAUAACCUAACCUCUAUCAAAAUAAAAAGAUGGCGGAACCGCAAAAGUU